rnacentral:rRNA from 1 species
GACGAACGCUGGCGGCGUGCUUAACACAUGCAAGUCGAACGGAAAGGCCCUGCUUUUGUGGGGUGCUCGAGUGGCGAACGGGUGAGUAACACGUGAGUAACCUGCCCUUGACUUUGGGAUAACUUCAGGAAACUGGGGCUAAUACCGGAUAGGAGCUCCUGCUGCAUGGUGGGGGUUGGAAAGUUUCGGCGGUUGGGGAUGGACUCGCGGCUUAUCCGCUUGUUGGUGAGGUAGUUGCUUACCAAGGCUUUGACGGGUAGCCGGCCUGAGAGGGUGACCGGCGACAUUGGGACUGAGAGACGGACCAGACGCCUACGGGAGGCAGCAGUGGGGAAUAUGGCACAGUGGGCGGAAGCCUGAUGCAGCAACGCCGCGUGCGGGAUGACGGCCUUCGGGUUGUAAACCGCUGUCGCCUGUGACGAAGCGUGAGUGACGGUAAUGGGUAAAGAAGCACCGGCUAACUACGUG